rnacentral:rRNA from 1 species
CGGGUAACGGAGAAUCAGAGUUCGAUUCCGGAGAAGGAGCUUGAGAAUUGGCUACUACAUCUAAGGAAGGCAGCAGGCGCGCAAAUUACCCAAUCCCGAUUCGGGGAGGUAGUGACAAAAAAUAACAAUACCGGGCCUUUUUGGGCUUGGUAAUUGGAAUGAGGGAGAGUUAAACGGACCAUCGAGUAUCCAUUGGAGGGCAAGUCUGGUGCCAGCAGCUGCGGUAAUACCAGCUCCAAUAGCGUAUAUUAAAGUUGUUGCAGUUAAAAAGCUCGUAGUUGGACUUGUGUGCGCUGUCCGCGGGUGGCCUGCGCCCAAAAGGGCGUUUCGGUUCGGCCCCGGUGGCGCCUUGAAAUCUGCAGCUGGGGGGACGUUGGCCUUAACUGGUCGGCGACCGCACGCCGGCUGCUCGGUUACUGUGAGAAAAUUAGAGUGUUCAAGGCAGGCAUUGGGUGCAAUUGAAUACAUUAGCAUGGAAUAAUAAAAUAUGGCUCCUGCCGUAUUUUGUUGGUUUUGACUGGUGGGGGUAAUGAUUGAUAGGGACGGUUGGGGGUGCUAGUAUUGAGCGGCCAGAGGUGAAAUUCAUGGAUUCGCUCAAGACUAACUUAUGCGAAAGCAUUCACCAAGGACGUCCUCUUUAAUCAAGAACGAAAGUUGGGGGAUCGAAGACGAUCAGAUACCGUCGUAGUCUCAACCAUAAACUAUGUCGACUUGGGAUCGGCGGUAGUUUUUUCAUUAGGACACUGUCGGGACCACGGGAGAAAUCAAAGUGUCUGGACUCUGGGGGAAGUAUGGUCGCAAGGCUGAAACUUGAAGGAAUUGACGGAAGGGCACCACCAGGAGUGGAGCCUGCGGCUUAAUUUGACCCAACACGGGGAAACUUACCAGGUCCAGAGAUGUAGAGGAUUGACAGAUUGAAGCUCUUUCUUGAUCACUUCGGUGGUGGUGCAUGGCCGUUCUUAGUUGGUGGAGUGAUUUGUCUGGUUAAUUCCGUUACGAACGAGACCUCAGCCUGCUAGUGUAGUCGGCUGGAUUGCCUUUGGCGAUCCGUGAUUUCGACUUCUUAGAGGGACAAUCGACGCGCAGUCGAUGGAAGUUUGAGGCAAUAACAGGUCUGUGAUGCCCUUAGAUGUUCUGGGCCGCACGCGCGCUACACUGCUAGGCUCAGCGAGUUUUACUUGGCCGAGAGGCCCGGUUAAUCUUGUGAAAUCCCAGCGUGCUUGGGCUCGCCUCCUGCAACUGGAGGCGCCAACGAGGAAUUCCUAGUAGACGCAGGUCAUCAACCUGCAUCGAUUACGUCCCUGCCCUUUGUACACACCGCCCGUCGUUCCAUAAGAGUGAGGCAUCCGGUGAAUUCUCGGGAGAGCCUGGGCGUGGCCAGCAAUGGUCUGCUCAGGUUUGAACUUGCAUAAACUUGGUGCCUAUGAUUAGGGAAAAGUCGUAACAAGGUU